rnacentral:rRNA from 1 species
UACGUAGGGCGCAAGCGUUGUCCGGAAUUAUUGGGCGUAAAGAGCUCGUAGGCGGCCUGUUGCGUCCGCUGUGAAAUCCCGGGGCUCAACCCCGGGCCUGCAGUGGAUACGGGCAGGCUCGAGUUCGGUAGGGGAGACUGGAAUUCCUGGUGUAGCGGUGAAAUGCGCAGAUAUCAGGAGGAACACCGGUGGCGAAGGCGGGUCUCUGGGCCGAUACUGACGCUGAGGAGCGAAAGCGUGGGGAGCGAACAGG